rnacentral:rRNA from 1 species
GAUCAUGGCUCAGGAUGAACGCUAGCUACAGGCUUAACACAUGCAAGUCGAGGGGCAGCAUGGACCCAGCUUUGCUGGGUUUGAUGGCGACCGGCGCACGGGUGAGUAACGCGUAUCCAACCUGCCCUUUACUCCGGGAUAGUCUCCUGAAAGGGAGUUUAAUACCGGAUGUGUUUGUCUUUCCGCAUGGGAGCGACAAAUAAAGAUUAAUUGGUAAAGGAUGGUGGAUGCCGUCCCAUUAGCUUUGG